GCAUGAUGAUUCAGGAGAAACAGCUGUUCAGGAUCAGAGGGGACACAGGCAAUGGGGCUUGUGCUGGGGGAGAUCAGGGAGAGGAGGACACUCAGACUGGUGAAGCCUCAGCAUUUCAUGAGCAUUACAGUGCAUGGAGCUGGCUGGUGCAUCCCACCCAACAUUUCCUCAGUCCACGCGUUUUUCCUCAUUCAGACAUAGGGUGAUUUAUGGGGCUGCCUUGCCUAUGGAGGCAGCCGAGCUACAAGGUCAGAAUGGAGAUCUGUUUGCAAAACAGAGUAAAGCAAGACAAAGCAGGAGAUGACAAGCCCCUGAGGAAAAAAAAACAAGUUGCAAGAGGCUAAACAGAAGAUAAGAGCUACAUAACAGAAAAGAUGCUCUCAAAAUACAUGCCAAGGACAGCAAAAUAAAUAGGAUCUUGACCCCUGAAGUCACUGUCAGCUUCUUCCCAGCACAAAGUCUAAUUAAAGACACUAGUGAUCUGCUGGAAAUUUUGUUGGGCUCUGUGAAAACUGUGCAUCAGAAUUUGUUUAGAGAAUGUGGUGUGUUUAUUCAGAGAAUUAACUCAAAACAGCUGAAAUUCUUAGUUAAAAAUACUAUGGGUUUGAUCAAUAACGUAUACUUUGUUUUUUAAUCUGCUUUUAUGUUAAUAAAUUCUCCACUCUUAGGUACUUAUUUCUCCUUCUAAUUCUCCUCAUGCUUUUAGCUAUCAUUUUCCUCCUUCUUACAGAAAUGUUCUACUCCUAUUCUAACUAUGGAAAUAAAUCAUCAGUUACAACACUA